rnacentral:rRNA from 1 species
CCCGCACAAGCGGUGGAGCAUGUGGUUUAAUUCGACGCAACGCGAAGAACCCUACCAGGGCUUGACAUCCCCUGACCGCGUAUGAAAGUACGUUUUCACCCUCGGGUGACAGGGAGACAGGUGGUGCAUGGUUGUCGUCAGCUCGUGUCGUGAGAUGUUGGGUUAAGUCCCGCAACGAGCGCAACCCCUACGUUUAGUUGCUAACGCGUGAAGGCGAGCACUCUAGACGAACUGCCGUUGACAAAACGGAGGAAGGUGGGAUGACGUCAAAUCAUCAUGCCCCUUAUGUUCUGGGCUACACACGUGCUACAAUGGCCGGUACAGACGGACGCAAAGCCGCGAGGUGGAGCAAAUCCUAAAAAGCCGGUCUCAGUUCGGAUUGCAGGCUGCAAUUCGCCUGCAUGAAGUCGGAAUCGCUAGUAAUCGCAGGUCAGCAUACUGCGGUGAAUACGUUCCCGGGCCUU